rnacentral:rRNA from 1 species
UUGGUGCUUGCAUCAUGAUUUACAUUUGAGUGAGUGGCGAACUGGUGAGUAACACGUGGGAAACCUGCCCAGAAGCGGGGGAUAACACCUGGAAACAGAUGCUAAUACCGCAUAACAACUUGGACCGCAUGGUCCGAGCUUGAAAGAUGGCUUCGGCUAUCACUUUUGGAUGGUCCCGCGGCGUAUUAGCUAGAUGGUGGGGUAACGGCUCACCAUGGCAAUGAUACGUAGCCGACCUGAGAGGGUAAUCGGCCACAUUGGGACUGAGACACGGCCCAAACUCCUACGGGAGGCAGCAGUAGGGAAUCUUCCACAAUGGACGAAAGUCUGAUGGAGCAACGCCGCGUGAGUGAAGAAGGGUUUCGGCUCGUAAAACUCUGUUGUUAAAGAAGAACAUAUCUGAGAGUAACUGUUCAGGUAUUGACGGUAUUUAACCAGAAAGCCACGGCUAACUACGUGCCAGCAGCCGCGGUAAUACGUAGGUGGCAAGCGUUGUCCGGAUUUAUUGGGCGUAAAGCGAGCGCAGGCGGUUUUUUAAGUCUGAUGUGAAAGCCUUCGGCUCAACCGAAGAAGUGCAUCGGAAACUGGGAAACUUGAGUGCAGAAGAGGACAGUGGAACUCCAUGUGUAGCGGUGAAAUGCGUAGAUAUAUGGAAGAACACCAGUGGCGAAGGCGGCUGUCUGGUCUGUAACUGACGCUGAGGCUCGAAAGUAUGGGUAGCAAACAGGAUUAGAUACCCUGGUAGUCCAUACCGUAAACGAUGAAUGCUAAGUGUUGGAGGGUUUCCGCCCUUCAGUGCUGCAGCUAACGCAUUAAGCAUUCCGCCUGGGGAGUACGGCCGCAAGGCUGAAACUCAAAGGAAUUGACGGGGGCCCGCACAAGCGGUGGAGCAUGUGGUUUAAUUCGAAGCUACGCGAAGAACCUUACCAGGUCUUGACAUACUAUGCAAAUCUAAGAGAUUAGACGUUCCCUUCGGGGACAUGGAUACAGGUGGUGCAUGGUUGUCGUCAGCUCGUGUCGUGAGAUGUUGGGUUAAGUCCCGCAACGAGCGCAACCCUUAUUAUCAGUUGCCAGCAUUAAGUUGGGCACUCUGGUGAGACUGCCGGUGACAAACCGGAGGAAGGUGGGGAUGACGUCAAAUCAUCAUGCCCCUUAUGACCUGGGCUACACACGUGCUACAAUGGAUGGUACAACGAGUUGCGAACUCGCGAGAGUAAGCUAAUCUCUUAAAGCCAUUCUCAGUUCGGAUUGUAGGCUGCAACUCGCCUACAUGAAGUCGGAAUCGCUAGUAAUCGCGGAUCAGCAUGCCGCGGUGAAUACGUUCCCGGGCCUUGUACACACCGCCCGUCACACCAUGAGAGUUU